ACAAAACAUUGUACAUCAAUUAUACCUCAAUUUAAAAAAUAAACAAGUGGUAUAAAAUUUUAAAACAAAACUCUUGGGGUUAUUCCAAUACAUUAUAUCAUCUGCUUGCUCUCCUCUUUCUGCAAUAAUCUAAACAAAUUAAAUCAGGUAGCUCAAAGGUUCCUCGGCUGUAAUGUUUGACUUCCAUUCUGGCACAGUGACACUGGACUCUCCACUGAUUUCUAAAUUGCUUUAUUGUGUAAUUUGGGAGGACUAGAGGAAUAGAAUCUACAAUCAGAGGCAGCUGGUCGAAACAGGUGUUGCAGAAAAUUAUAAUCCUACUUUGAUUAAUCCUGUUUUUUACAGCCACCCUCCAGUUAUGCAUGACAGGUAUCCAAAUAAUCAAACAUACAGUCUUCAUUGCAACAACCGGAGUUAUUGUCAGGAGAAACGUCAGGAAUUACCGAGCCAUUGAUGCCAAAAUAAUGUGUUUCAAGUUUUUGUUAUUCCCUCAUUUCUUGAAUUUUCUGAGGGAAAAUGUGUGUAUGUGAGUGUGUGUGUAUGUGUGUGAUCUUCAUUACAAAGCUGUGCCUUUUUCUGUUCAUGUUGGUGGUUUUCAAUAAUCCACAAAUUUAAAAUUUGCCCUUCCAAAAUAAUUUUAAAACUCAGUUUAGAGUUAACAAGAACAUGGUAACUGUUAUGCAGCAUCUGGAAUUAUACGUGCAUCUGUAACAAGGCAUAUACAAUAUUAAGAAUCUCUAUGUAGUUACUAAAACACGGUAUCAGUUUCAUAUGUGGGUCAACAUGCUGUUAAAGCAUUUCUUCUCCUGAUCUGAUUAUUCUUUCCCAACAUAUAGCAAUUACCAUCCUGACUCACACACAGCUCUGUGGAGGUGUCCGGCAUUCAGCCUUUUUGGGAAUGGUUCUAUUCAUACAGGUAUACCUCGGAGAUAUUCUGGGUUCAGUUCUAGACCACCACAGUAAAGUGACUAUCACAAUAAAUUGAAUCUUGCAAUAAAGUAAGU